rnacentral:rRNA from 1 species
CAGAGGAGGCAAGCGUUGUUCGGAAUUAUUGGGCUUAAAGCGCGCGUAGGCGGCUCGGAAAGUGUCCUGUGAAAUUCCGUCGCUCAACGACGGAACUGCGGGGCAAACUCCCGGGCUUGAGGUUGGUAGAGGUGCCUGGAACUCUAGGUGGAGCGGUGAAAUGCGUAGAUAUCUAGAGGAACGCCGGAAGCGAAAGCGGGGCACUGGGCCAAUUCUGACGCUGAGGCGCGAAAGCGUGGGGAGCAAACAGGAUUAGAUACCCUGGUAGUCCACGCCGUAAACGAUGCACACUAGGUGCCGGAGGCUCUGACGCCGUCGGCGCCGCAGCAAAAGUGCUAAGUGUGCCGCCUGGGGAGUACGGCCGCAAGGCUA